AAAGACCCCAGCUUAGCAGCAGUAACGCCAUUUUGCAAGGCUGUACUUAAGAUGACUGGUUCAGGGAAAGGUUAGAACACUGAGUACACAGCGGCUGCCAAGCAGGAUGUGUUUGGUUGAAGGCCUGGCAACAGGACGACUGCAGUUGAGCACCUGACAAUGAGAAAAGCCCCGGGAGAGGUCCCACACCCUGGUGGGGGGGCCGAGUCAGCCGUUAUGUUCCAAGAAGGUAGCUAAGAAACUUGCCCCCAGGCUGAACCCUUGGGGGGCCGAGUCAGUCCUUAUGUUUCAGGAAGGUAGCUAAGAAACUUGCCCCCAGGCUGAACCCUUGGGGGGCCGAGUCAGUCCUUAUGUUUCAGGAAGGUAGCUAGGAAACUUGCCCCCGGGCUAAACCCUUGCCAUAUUAGAAUCCACCAAUUAUAUCCCUGUAACCAUGCAUCUGCUUCUGUAUGCUUGCUUCUGCUCCCCAAAAUCCUAUAAAAGCCCAUCCUUGGUUCCGUGGGGCGCGCCAGUCCCCCGAGUGACUGAAGCGCCCGCAGGUGCCUGUGCCUGUGUAUCCCGACAAUAAACCAAAUCCUCUUGCUGAUU
ensembl:lncRNA